UACGGGGGGGGUAAGCGUUGUUCGGAAUUACUGGGCGUAAAGGGCUCGUAGGCGGCCAACUAAGUCGGACGUGAAAUCCCUCAGCUUAACUGGGGAACUGCGUCCGAUACUGAAUGGCUUGAAUCCGGGAGAGGGAUGCGGAAUUCCAGGUGUAGCGGUGAAAUGCGUAGAUAUCUGGAGGAACACCGGUGGCGAAGGCGGCAUCCUGGACCGGCAUUGACGCUGAGGCGCGAAAGCUAGGGGAGCAAACGGG
rnacentral:rRNA from 1 species